rnacentral:tRNA from 4 species
GGGUUCGUAGCUCAGCCAGGUAGAGCGUUUGGCUCUUAACCAAAAUGUCGUGGGUCCGAAUCCCACCGAACCCG